CUGCUGGUGCUGAAGCUGGUGAGGGAGCUGGAGCCAGGGGAAUACAGCAUCUUCCUAAAGCUGACAGCCAGCCAAUGCAAGUUGCAGGUGAUGCCAGUCAAAGCUCAGGUGUGUGACUGCGAAGGGCUGGCCAAAAACUGCAAAUGGUGAGCAUUCAUCACCAGUGGGCUGGGCAUCCCCACCAUCCUGGGGGGAAUCCUGGUGCUGCUUAUCCUGCUGCUGCCGCUCUUCACCAGGCGGAGGAAGGUGGUGAAGGAGCCACUGCUCCCGCCCAAGGAUGACAAGUGGGACAAUGUCUUCCACUAUGAUGAGGAGGGUGGUGGUGAGGAGGACCAGGACUAUGACCUGAGUCAGCUGCACCGGGGCCUGGAUGCCUGCCCUGAGGUGAUCCACAACGAUAUGAUCCCCCUGCUGAUGGCUGCCCCCCAGUACCAGUACCGGCCCCGGCCUGCCAACCCUGAUGAGAUCAGAAAAUUCAUUGAUGAAAACCUGAAGGUGGCUGACGCAGACCCCAUGGCCCCCCCACUACGACUCCCUGCUGGUGUUUGACUAUAAGGGCAGUGGCUUGGAGGCCACCUCACUCAGCUCCCUCAACUCCUCCUCCUCUGACUACGACCAGGACUACGACUACCUUAACAACUGGGGUAGCCGCUUCAAGAAGCUGGCAGACCUCUACAGUGGUGGGGAGGAGGAUGACUAGGAUCCUCCAGCCCAGCUGGCAGCUGCCUGGUGAAGCCAGCUCGCCUCAUUUCACCCCACCGGACUGACAUUGGUCUUUGCCUGGGGGCAGCUGAACCCCCCUCCAACACCCCUCAGCCUGAUGUCCAUGUCCCCCUCAUUCAGCACAGGGGAAUCACGGGGUCACCAGGGCUGGGGAGGGCUUAUUGGGGAGCUUCUGUGUUUCCUUCCCCUCCUCAGCUCCAGGCAGGGCAUGGAGCCAUCCAGCCUGUUCCCCAUCCUGGAGUUGAGGUUCUCCUGGCUGUGUGGGCCAGGAUCAGCUCCUCUUCCCUGGCAGGGACAGGCCCCCAGCGCCUCCCUCUCUUUGCUGCAGGGGAAAAAGGAUUUCUCUGGUGCUCUCUGAAAUACCUCAUACUCCCUGCCCAGACACAACCACCAACCUGCCACUGUGCUUGGCUCACAAAGCUGGUGCUGGAAAAGUGGAGGAGCCCCUGGCACCAUGCCUCUGCCAGAGCAGGGCGAAGUGAUCGAUAAAUGCAGACCAAAGAUGCGCCAUCAUGUGCUAUAUGUGAGGGAAUUAUAUUUGAUAGAACAUACAGGCAGAUUUCUAUUUUUCUGUAGCCCAGAUUAUGAUGAUUUCCUGCUGUGUUGUGCCAGGUGUAAUUAUUGUGCAAUGAAAGGCGCUUUUGGAAAUCAAAAUGGUUUUACUGAAAUUCUGAAUUCUGUGUUUAGCUUGUUUGUAUAUUUUUAUCAUGGGAAAAGGGUC
rnacentral:lncRNA from 1 species